UCUACAACAGACAAAAUAAUGUAAUAACAGUUAAAGGUGCCAAAAAUUGUGAUUGAAUUAUCUUGGCGAAAAUGAAUGUACUCUUCGAUUAAAAUCGCCAGCUGAUAGAAAUAGGACAAACGACCAGCACACAUUUGUUAAGUAUUGACCUGUGGAAAUAAUUUCCAAAGAAGGAUGGGCUACAGUUAAUGCUUGACUGUUAGGAUUUUUACGGAUCUGGGAUAUUCAUAUUUUCUCAUCACUGAACAUCAUUAUUCAUAUUGAGU